AAUAAGUAAUGUUUUGCACUAUUUACGUCCAAUGUUUGACCGUUUAUCUUAUUUAAAUUUUUUUAUGAUUAGUAUUUUUUUUGUUAUUAGAAUAUAAAACAUAAAUAGUAUUUUAUAUGUGACUAAUUUUUUAAAAAAAUCAUAAAAUUUUCAAAUAAGACGGACGGUCAAACGUUGGACACGGAUAUCCAUGGGUUGCACUUAUU
rfam:Oryza glaberrima chromosome 7 Oglab07_unplaced150_16, whole genome shotgun sequence.